CGAGAGUGUCCAUGGCUUUCGCCGUGGUUGGAGGGAGGUGCACCUGAUCCCGAUCCACUAGGGAUAGGAGCAUUGAUUGCUGACACAGCAGCUGCAACCGCCGCUGUGAAAGCUGCCUGGAACAUGUUGGCAUCNUGAAAGAUGCCUGGAACAUGUUGGCAUCGAAAGGAGUAGGUGGUUGAAGAGGUUCAGGUGGUGGUGGAGGUGCUUCGUUGUUUGGGUUACGUCUUGUACU
rnacentral:lncRNA from 1 species